AUGGAGUUUGUUAAAGAGGAGAGUGAAGAGAACACGAGAGAACCAGAAACCUGGAGAAUAAAACAAGAGGAGCCAGAAACCUGGGGAAUAAAACACGAGCCAGAAACCUGGGGAAUAAAACACGAGGAGCCAGAAACCUGGGGAAUAAAACACGAGGAGCCAGAAACCCGGGGAAUAAAACACGAGGAGACAGAAACUGGGAGAAAAACCAGAAACCGAGAGAAUAAAACACGAGGAGCCAGAAACCAGAAUAAGACACGAUCCAGAAACUUGCAGAAUAAAACACGAGGAGCCGGGAGAAUAAAACACGAGGAACAAGGAGGAUUUACACAAGCUCCAGUCUGGAUCCAGAACACCUGAGAAGAGAUGAUGCCAACCCUCUCAGAGGACCCCAGAUGAUGCAAACCCUGAAUCAAAAACAGAACUAACAAAUAUUGCUACAGGUGUGACUGCAUCAUAUAAUAAUUGCUGUUAAUAAUGUUUAUCAUCUGGCUGACUAAGUCUUGUAUUAAUUUUUCUGAAAAAUCCUGUCAUACACGUAUAAACUGACAUUCACCACUUAUAAGCUACUACUAAAUAUUGUAGAAACGUAAUUUUCUGGUAAAAAAAAAGUUCACAGCUUAAGUCAUUUGUGGAUUAAUGCUUAUUGGAGACGUGAACCGUUUCAAACGAUUCAGUUCGAUUCGGUGAACUGGUUCAAGAAGAACCGGUUAAAUCAGAUUAUUCGUUCGCGAUCCAGAUAUCACUACACUUGAAUGCGCUCACAGCAGACACGGAAGAGAAGACAAUGCCGAAUGAAGUCAUAGUUUUUGCUAUUUUUGGAUCAAAAUGUAUUUCGAUGCUUCAACAAAUUCUAACUGACCCUCUGAUGUCACAUGGACUACUUUGAUGAUGUUUUUCUUACCUUUGGGACAUGGAGAGUAUAUAUCGUACACACAAUUUAAAUGGAGGGACCGAGAGCUCUCUAACUAAAUCUAAAAUAUCUUAAACUGUGUUCCGAAGAUAAACGGAGGUCUCACUGGUUUGGAAAGACAUGAGGGUGAGUCAUUAAUGACAUAAUUUUGAUUAUUGGGUGAACUAACCCUUUCAAGAGCUGCAGAUUAUAAAGCCGUUAAACAGUAAUCCGGACAAAGGUAAAUAGCGCUCCACCUAGCUGGUAGUUUAGUAUCUGUUAGUGCUAACAACCAUUCACACAUGUACUUUUAACUAUGUUUUUGAAAAGUGUAGUUAGUAGCUGUCAACGCUCCCAUUUUUUUUUCCGGGAUUCUCACGUUUUUGAGCUCUUUUCCCGCUGUCUUCCCAUUUUAGUAUUUUCUGUAAAAUAUCCUGUUAGCCCUUCCAUCGGACCUGUCAGUCUCUGUAUUGUUGUCCUGUUGCUGCUCCUUGCCCUUCCAGCGAACAGAUGUUUUCAAAGCAUCCUUUUGCUUACUUAAAAGCAACCUUAGCGUGAUGUUGGGCUUUUUAAAAUAGCAUGAUUUCACGCCAAUCUGUAAGCAAAGUCAUGUUAGACCUAGCUUCACAACUCACUUAUUUAAUGCAGCAGUUUUGUAAUAACGUUACGAAUUUUUGCUGUCAGCAGAGGGAUAGCAACAGAAAGAUGAAUGUUGAAAUUGUUCCUGUAUUUUGGAUGAGUAACCCUGGAAAUUUCCCUUAUUUAUAAGUUCAAUGUUGACUUAAGCUAUAUAAAUUAAUAUUCAGAUGUUUUGGUCUCGUGGUCGAGCUUCCAUGCAGGAAAGCGGUGGAAAGUUCCACGUGGCAUCCUGGGAUUGAAAAGUAUCCAUCAAUGAACCCUUCAGAAUCUUGGCUGAAGCAGUAGGACAUCCAGGGAUUUCUCGUACUGAGGUUUCGAAAGUACUUCCUUCUUCACAUACUUUUCCCCCCUAAUAUAUAGUAGGUGAGUAGGCAUAUUAGAACGCAAACUAAGUAUACGUACAACUGAAUCUCGUGAGAAUUAUUGCAAUUUUCCUUAUAUGGAAUUUUCUAUAUAUGGUAGGGAAUUAUGCAAUUACAGACGCAGCCUCUGGCUCAGCGCCAACGAACACAGAUCUGAAUUUAGCAGUUGAUGCUAGACACGAUGAACUCUAAUCACAC
ensembl:lncRNA